AUGUACUGCUCUCUUACACUGCGUUUCCUCCGCACCGUCCACGCCCACCUGACGACUGCUCGCUACGUUCUGGUAGGC
rnacentral:sRNA from 2 species